UACAGAGGGGGCGAGCGUUGUUCGGAAUUACUGGGCGUAAAGCGCACGUAGGCGGAUUGUUAAGUGAGGGGUGAAAUCCCAGGGCUCAACCCUGGAACUGCCUUUCAUACUGGCAAUCUCGAGUCCGAGAGAGGUGAGUGGAAUUCCGAGUGUAGAGGUGAAAUUCGUAGAUAUUCGGAGGAACACCAGUGGCGAAGGCGGCUCACUGGCUCGGUACUGACGCUGAGGUGCGAAAGCGUGGGGAGCAAACAGG
rnacentral:rRNA from 1 species